ACGUGUAUUUAGUGGGUCCCCUCUAGGUUAUGGGAUACCUAAAAAAUCAGUUGUAUCUAGAGCUCAAGUAGCCAGUACCAUGUGAAAUGAUGACUAAAACAUCUAAAAGCACUUGAUGGGGCAAACCUGAGUUUUAGAAUGGCCUUAAAGUUGGUGUGACCACUCAUCCAAGUAGGACAGACGCAAUGGAUGGGCAAAAUAUGUGAACCACAUCUCGAUGGACCCUAUAAACAAUCAAGAAGAUUUCAAUGGGUGGGCAUCCACUCUUAACUGCUGUUUGUAGUGUGACCCAACUAAGUCAUGGAUUAGCUUGAUUUUCGGCCCAUGGCUCACCAUUAAAGGGUGCAUGUGAUUGAUGGAGGUGGAUGUCUGACACAUCACAGUGGGCCCACACAGCUCAACCUCAUGGUAAGCUCCUACCAAGUCAAGGUCAUAGUACCUGUAUGAAUGCAUGCAUGCGCUUUCAUUUCUCAUGAAUAUUUGAGUAUCACAAAAACAGAAAUCCAUAAAGUUUUAACUGCACCAAAUGUCAGCUCUCAUUUAGUUUUGUUGAUUGUCUUGGUGGCAUUGCAGUGUGUGAGGCGCACAUUUGAGGAGAAAGAUGUAAUGCAAGCAUACAACUGACUGAAAUACUUUGCGAUGAUUGUUGCAGUCAUCGCGAGGACUGCUUAUGAAAUCCUAAGGGGGAAUGAAUCGGAGCUGGUUAAUGGCUGGAAUCAAAGAAAUGAUGCUCAUAACGGAGUUCCAAAAUGUUCAAUAAGAAAUGAUUAGGCAAGUGGGCAACUAAAGAGUUUGAUAGCUAAUGGGAACUGUUCUAAGGAUAGGGUCAUUCACGUGACAAUUAUUUGUGAUGAUUUAAAGAACAAACUUAUGUGAACUACAAAACAGUUUUAUGUGUUGACUACAAGGACAGGUUAGAAAUCCUUUCUUAAAAAGCUAGGCAGUUCAUAUGAACUUAGAAUCUUUGUUUUUAUGAAAGAAUUUUUAUUUUUAUUUUUUGUUUUUAGUUGAAGUCAUCAGCCUGAUCUUUUUAAUUGGUUUCAUUAUCAGAAUCCCCUAAAAUGGAGUUCAAAAUAGCAACAUAUUAAGGGAAAGGAAGUGCGUUCUGUGCUGGUGGUGAUGUUCUAAAUAUGGCCUAUUUCGUAAUCACCAGUAGGUGUCUCUUUUCUAGCCUGCGACGAAUCCUUUAAUGACAAGAUAUAAUACAUUGCAAUAGAUUAUUUUUUUUAUUUUUUUUGGUGACAUUAAGUCAAUGUACUGAACAUUUUAUGAAACUCAGUUUUGGAUCUUUGUUUGAUGAUUUUUACUCAAUUGCUAUGGACUAUUUCCAUUUUUUGAAGAAAUGAGAAUUGUUAAUGACACUCGUAAUGCUUGGUUUUUUAAUUAAUCAAA